rnacentral:rRNA from 1 species
AUUGAACGCUGGCGGCAGGCUUAACACAUGCAAGUCGAGCGAGCGGCGGACGGGUGAGUCAUGUCUGGGAAACUGCCUGAUGGAGGGGGAUAACUACUGGAAACGGUAGCUAAUACCGCAUACCAUCAGAUGUGCCCAGAUGGGAUUAGCUAGUAGGUGGGGUAAUGGCUCACCUAGGCGACGAUCCCUAGCUGGUCUGAGAGGAUGACCAGCACACCGGGAACUGAGCCACGGUCCGGACUCCUACGGGAGGCAGCAGUGGGGAAUAUUGCACAAUGGGCGCAAGCUUGAUGCAGCAAUGCGGAGUGUAUGAAGAAGGCCUUCGGGUUGUAAAGCACUUUCAGCGAGGAGGCGUUACUCGCAGAAGAAGCAACGGCUAACUCCGUGCCAGCAGCCGCGGUAAUUC